GUUCAGCUCCCCUGUUUUAGAGGGACCUAACUGGACAAGGUUUCCCAAGUUCUUAUCGCCUCUCAGUUUGCCAGAGCCACUUACAAGGUAAGACCAAAACACAGAAGACCCAGCCUUUGAACGGGGCUAAGAAUAUUAGGGAAGCUAAUAUUUAUUAAAGAAUAAUAAGCUUAUCGUUAAGAAGCGAGACACUUUACCGAUCUAAGUUCAUCUUCAUAAGAUUUAGAUGUGGUGAUUAUCUUAUUUUCAACAGAGAGAACGUUUCUGGAGUGAGAGAAUAAAUGCUCACUAAGGAGAGCACGAGUAAGGUGUAGGCAGAGAUGUGAAUGCUUCCGCACUGCCCAGCCUUCUGUGGCAUCAGACAUCAUCUUGUCCAAGGUUCUGUAGGACUAAUGUGAAUCAGUGGAAUAUUCCAGGCACUGGAAGGUAUGUGCGAAGACCCAGAGGCAUGAGGUAAGUACAUGUGUUAAUGACUCACUGGGGUCAAAAUGUAGGAUAUGGGGUGGGGGAUAGGAGACAA
rnacentral:lncRNA from 12 species